rnacentral:rRNA from 1 species
UGGCUCUCUCGGGAGCAUGUGCACACUUGUCAUCUUUAUAUCUCCACCUGUGCACCUUUUGUAGAUCUGGAUAUCUUUCUGAAUGCCUGGCAUUCAGGUUUGAGGAUUGACUUUUGUCUUUCCUUACAUUUCCAGGCCUAUGUUUUCUUCAUAUACACCAUUUAUGUUAUAGAAUGUAAUAAAGGGCCUUUGUGCCUACAAACCUUAUACAACUUUCAGCAACGGAUCUCUUGGCUCUCGCAUCGAUGAAGAACGCAGCGAAAUGCGAUAAGUAAUGUGAAUUGCAGAAUUCAGUGAAUCAUCGAAUCUUUGAACGCACCUUGCGCUCCUUGGUAUUCCGAGGAGCAUGCCUGUUUGAGUGUCAUUAAUAUAUCAACCUCCUCAGGUUUCGACUUGUCGAGUGUUUGGAUGUGGGGGUCUUUUGCUGGUCUCUUUUGAGGUCGGCUCCCCUAAAAUGCAUUAGCGGAACAAUUUGUUGACCCGUUCAUUGGUGUGAUAACUAUCUACGCUUUUGAGGUGAAACAGGUUCAGCUUCUAACAGUCCAUUAACUUGGACAAAUUUUCAUUAAUGUGACCUCAAAUCAGGUAGGACUACCCGCUGAACUUAAGCAUAUCAAUAANNCGGAGGAA